rnacentral:lncRNA from 1 species
UUUAAAUCAUUGAAUAUUGACUCAUUUUAUUAGUCACUUCGUAAUUUGUUCAACCAAAAGACAAUACACACAGCAGAAGUCUAAUGCAUCCCAUGAAAAUGUUUACAUCCGUUAUGCUCCUCACUCACCUCAGACUUAGCAUUUUAGUUUUCUCACAUCUCAAAAAUAGGUCUGCAGAAGUUGGAAUGCCACCGGGCUCCCUGCUUGAAGGGCAUGGCUUCACUUGAAAUUUGGUUGGGUUUGCUGGGGUUUGGUUUUUUGUUUGCCUUUUUUUUUUUUCCCCACUAUAGUGCCCAAGAGGUGGGAUGGGGCUCGAGGUAAAAUGUAAAUUACAUCAGGAAAGAAAAGGGAAUAUACAGAAGAGUGAAAGUUCCGAGGGAAGCAGCCCAGCAGCCCCUUCCUUCACAGCCCCAAGUAGAAAAUGAACACAUAGAAAGCACAGCAGCAGCUUUAAAAAAAAAAAAAAAAAAAAAAAAAAAAAGCCAUCUUGGCUGCUCCGUCUUGCAGCUAGUCCCAGCUUCAGAGAAGGCACAAAGUCACCUUUCCCAGCUGCUUCAGCAUCUUCUGUGUUACAAACCCAAGGUACUGUUCAGGUGGCAGUCCUCCCACUGCUAUUGCUUCAAAAGGUUGUUCAAGGCCAUUUUUUGCCCCGUCAAGACCUGUACAAAGUUGAACCUUAGGACGUUCCCAUGUCUCCACCGCCUUCAGGCCCAUUAUGGCCACUGUUCUCUGUGUCAUUUUUUGACUCAGAAUACAUUUACUUGAAAAAAACCCAGACAUUCAGUCUCUCCCAGCUCCAAAAUCUCCAAGCAGAUAUGAAUAAGAUUAGCCGUGAAGUCUGUAUCUUGUUCCCUUUACAUUCACCUUAUGCUGAAGCAAGGAAAAUGUUGACCAGAGCCGUAAGAACUGUUGCAUUCAACUAGUGGAAGAGAGACUCACCCUAUCUAUCCUCAGAGUGCCCCAGACACGGACACACAAGUACUCCCCAGUGAGAAAACAAAGCAGCACAGAGCUUGAGCUGCACUUAGGGGUCAAGGAGCAAGCAAUGGCAUCUGGUGCUACAGACAGGACGUGUGAAACCUGCCUGCCUGCAUACUGUUAGCACUCGUCCUUAGCUGGGAAGGCAAAGAGCUCAGAGGAAUGUUCGGCUGCUACAAAGGAGUCCUUCAUAGCCAAGGGAUGGCUUCAAGCAAAAUGCAUUUCAAGUACGUGCACUGCCUCCUCCAGCUCCACUCAGAAACACAGGGGACAGCACCCAUUUCCCUGAACACAAACACUGUGCGUAGGGGGCUGAAGCAGCCAAGAACAUAUCAGGAAUUUACCCUACACACCAGACAGAGACCAACAAGAAGCCCCAGCUGCUCUAGGGCAUGGAAAACAGGAGCAACAAGAUGGACAAGGUAAGCUGUUCCCAACCAUGUUGCAACGAACAGGCCAUCUGUUGAAAGAAAAAUGGUGAGGGACCAUUUACUUCCUUCUCCCCAUCUAAUCUGCACCAGGGCUCUUCUUCAGCAAAACCAAUGCAGAUGGAGGUGUGCCAGCUUUCGGUACAACGGACCACAUACAAUUCUAUGAGGAGAAUGGGAGAGCUUAUGGGGAGUUCAGGAACUAAGGUAAAGACUUUCCAUUAGCUUUGUACCUGGGAUACCCUCAGAGCUCACUGGAGUCAAGAUUUAACAUGCUCAGCCUCCAACACUACGGAGUUUGAGCUAGUGGGGUGAAAAGAUGCAGCUGAAGUGAAAGCAACAAAAGAAAAUGCUCGGCACCUACAAAUGGACUUCACUUCAGCAAUUUUCCGCAAGACUGGCUGCUCCAUGAUGCUUCUGGCUGAAGCACAGCAUCUAUCUCACCACUGAUAUCCAAGGCAUGACCCUAACACAGCCCACAAUUACUUUUAAGGAAAGCAUACAUCAUUCUUCUAGAUUUUAUAACCCCAUGCUGAUGCACUUCCAACAGAACAAUAACACUCUUUGCUAAUCCAAUGGCCCAAACCUGUUUAAUCAGUAAGGCAGCAAAAAAUGUGCUCCAAGAAAAGCUCAACUUAUUCCACUACACAGACCAGCACUUAAGUCAGUGACAAUCAGUCCUAUUGAUAUUACUUAAUGCAGUUAAAACCAGACCGAACAACCUUUACUGGCCUCCUGCUCCCAAUUCAAAGGCAGAAUAGGUCUUCAAUUUUCCAAGUACACUGUGCACCACUGCUGCAGUGGUUUUGGCAAGGUUUGGAGCUUAGUGUUAGCACUUUUGCAGACACAAAGAGCUGUAUUUAAGCUUGCCAUUAGAGCACUGAAUGAUCCGUAUCUGAAAAGCCCUAGAGGAGAAAUAAAGCAGAUGUGCCAUCUAUUUCUUUUGAGAAAGCACUGGGUUGGAAGGUGGAGUUCUGUCAGCUUGCCACCACACUCAUAGAUGAAGAUGUAAGAUACAUCUUCCCCUCUUCCUCCC